rnacentral:sRNA from 1 species
UCGGACAUCGUCCGAUCCGAAAGCGUCUU